rnacentral:rRNA from 1 species
CCUACGGGAGGCUGCAGUGGGGAAUAUUGGACAAUGGGCGGAAGCCUGAUCCAGCAACGCCGCGUGAGGGAUGACGGCCUUCGGGUUGUAAACCUCUUUCAGUACCGACGAAGCGAAAGUGACGGUAGGUACAGAAGAAGCACCGGCCAACUACGUGCCAGCAGCCGCGGUAAUACGUAGGGUGCGAGCGUUGUCCGGAAUUAUUGGGCGUAAAGGGCUCGUAGGCGGUCUGUUGCGUCGGGAGUGAAAACCCAGGGCUUAACUCUGGGCUUGCUCCCGAUACGGGCUGACUAGAGGUAUGCAGGGGAGAACGGAAUUCCUGGUGUAGCGGUGAAAUGCGCAGAUAUCAGGAGGAACACCGGUGGCGAAGGCGGUUCUCUGGGCAUUACCUGACGCUGAGGAGCGAAAGUGUGGGGAGCGAACAGGAUUAGAUACCCCUG